rnacentral:rRNA from 1 species
CCUAACACUACAGGAUGGGCCCGCGUCGCAUUAGCUAGUUGGUAAGGUAAUGGCUUACCAAGGCGACGAUGCGUAGCCGACCUGAGAGGGUGAUCGGCCACACUGGGACUGAGACACGGCCCAGACUCCUACGGGAGGCAGCAGUAGGGAAUCUUCCGCAAUGGACGAAAGUCUGACGGAGCAACGCCGCGUGAACGAUGAAGGCCUUCGGGUCGUAAAGUUCUGUUGUUAGGGAAGAACAAGUACCGUUCGAAUAGGUCGGUACCUUGACGGUACCUAACGAGAAAGCCACGGCUAACUACGUGCCAGCAGCCGCGGUAAUACGUAGGUGGCAAGCGUUGUCCGGAAUUAUUAGGCGUAAAGCGCGCGCAGGCGGUUUCUUAAGUCUGAUGUGAAAGCCCACGGCUCAACCGUGGAGGGUCAUUGGAAACUGGGAGACUUGAGUGCAGAAGAGGAGAGUGGAAUUCCAUGUGUAGCGGUGAAAUGCGUAGAUAUAUGGAGGAACACCAGUGGCGAAGGCGACUCUCUGGUCUGUAACUGACGCUGAGGCGCGAAAGCGUGGGGAGCAAA